CUCCCCAAAAAAUAUUUGCCGAUCUCUCUCUGCAGUUGCAAUCAUUUUGGUUUUAGUCCUCACCGGAGGGCGGAGCUCCGAUGAGCCCACACCUGGCACGCUGACGUGUUAAAUGAGUCCUAUGUGGAUUUUUGAAAAAAAAAUUAAUUUAAUAAAAUCCAAAUUUAAAAGUUAAAAACUGUAAAUACCCUUAUGUUUCACCCUAAAAUCCCUAAAUUGGAUCUCAUCUUCUACCUUUCAACAGCUGAAUCUCAUCUCGUUGUGCUUCCUUUAAACACCUGGUUCUUCGUUUUCUUCUUCUUCCUUUCUCCAUGCGUUUUUUUCUUCUUUUCUACAGUGGGUGUUCGUUAAUGAGUACGAACAGGUCCACUACCUCAUUCCCAUGUCGCACAGGAAGAUCUGCAGGUGCAAGGGGUAAGUGUGAAUGUGGUGUCCCUGUUAUCAUGUACAUGUUUGGACUGCACACAACCCAGGUAGAAGGUUUUUUAUUUUUAUUUUUUGAACAGAGGUAGGAGGUUAUUGAGAUGCAGCAACUGGCACGUAAGAAGCUUUGUUGACCCAUAUUUUUGGCAUAUUUAUUGUAUGAGUUUGGUUCCAUUAACCUUGGCAUGUACAUACCUUCUUAAUGUGCAGUUACCACAAAAUUGUGGGUUUUUUUUACUGGAUUGAUGUAUUGGAAGGGAAGAUGAUUCUAGGAGCAUAAACUGUGAGAGCUUGAAUUCUGCCAAUUGUCCCAAUGAUGCUUUGGAAAGAAAAUGCAAUAUGAUUAAGAAGCUGAAGAAGAAGGUUGAUGAAAAGAGAGUCCAGAAGAAUGUGGCAUGAGUGUUUGCUUUGUUUUCUUGGCUAGUGACAAUUGUGUGUUACUUUGUGUGUAGGGCUUAAGUUAAUGUAAUGUAACAUCUCUAUCGUUAUUUAGUUUGGGGACUUAAUGUAAUUUGGUUUGCGGACUCUCUAGUUUGUAUUCUAAGGAUUUGAAAACCAUAUUUAAUGUAACAACUUUGUGCCUUUAUCAAAAGGGUCACAUAUUUUUGCAAAUA